UUGAACGCUGGCGGCAGGCUUAACACAUGCAAGUCGAACGGUAACGGGAAGGGAGCUUGCUUUCUUUGCCGACGAGUGGCGGACGGGUGAGUAAUGCUUGGGAAUCUGGCUUAUGGAGGGGGAUAACUACGGGAAACUGUAGCUAAUACCGCGUAAUAUCUAUGGAUUAAAGGGUGGGACUUUCGGGCCACCUGCCAUAAGAUGAGCCCAAGUGGGAUUAGGUAGUUGGUUAGGUAAAGGCUGACCAAGCCGACGAUCUCUAGCUGGUCUGAGAGGAUGACCAGCCACACUGGAACUGAGACACGGUCCAGACUCCUACGGGAGGCAGCAGUGGGGAAUAUUGCACAAUGGGGGGAACCCUGAUGCAGCCAUGCCGCGUGAAUGAAGAAGGCCUUCGGGUUGUAAAGUUCUUUCGGUAGCGAGGAAGGUAUCAAAUUUAAUAGAUUUGGUAAUUGACGUUAACUACAGAAGAAGCACCGGCUAACUCCGUGCCAGCAGCCGCGGUAAUACGGAGGGUGCGAGCGUUAAUCGGAAUAACUGGGCGUAAAGGGCACGCAGGCGGUUGAUUAAGUGAGAUGUGAAAGCCCCGGGCUUAACCUGGGAAUUGCAUUUCAUACUGGUCAACUAGAGUACUUUAGGGAGGGGUAGAAUUCCACGUGUAGCGGUGAAAUGCGUAGAGAUGUGGAGGAAUACCGAAGGCGAAGGCAGCCCUUUGGGAAUGUACUGACGCUCAUGUGCGAAAGCGUGGGGAGCAAACAGGAUUAGAUACCCUGGUAGUCCACGCUGUAAACGCUGUCGAUUUGGGGAUUGGACUGUGAGUCUGGUGCCCGAAGCUAACGUGAUAAAUCGACCGCCUGGGGAGUACGGCCGCAAGGUU
rnacentral:rRNA from 1 species